CCUACGGGAGGCAGCAGUAAGGAAUAUUGGACAAUGGGCGGAAGCCUGAUCCAGCCAUGCCGCGUGCAGGAAGAAGGCCCUAUGGGUUGUAAACUGCUUUUGCAGGGGAGAAAUAAGGUUGAUUUAUCGACCGAUGAUAGUACUCUGCGAAUAAGCAUCGGCUAGCUUCGUGCCAGCAGCCGCGGUAAU
rnacentral:rRNA from 1 species